rnacentral:rRNA from 1 species
ACAUCCUACGGGGCGCAGCAGUGGGGAAUAUUGGGCAAUGGGCGCAAGCCUGACCCAGCAACGCCGCGUGAAGGAAGAAGGCUUUCGGGUUGUAAACUUCUUUUGACAGGGAAGAGCAGAAGACGGUACCUGUCGAAUAAGCCACGGCUAACUACGUGCCAGCAGCCGCGGUAAUACGGAGGGUGCGAGCGUUAAUCGGAAUUACUGGGCGUAAAGCGCUCGUAGGCGGUAUGUCAAGUCCAGGGUGAAAUCCCAGCGCGCAACGUGGGAACAGCCUUUGAAACUGGCAAACUGGAGUGUGUGAG